GUAGCUUUAUUUAUAGAGCUUGGCUGCUAAUCAAAAGGUUGGCAGUUCGAAUCUGCCUAGCUGCU
rnacentral:tRNA from 1 species